rnacentral:tRNA from 1 species
GCUACUAUGGCUCAGGAGGUAGAGCGUCGCCUUGGUAAGGCGGAGGUCACCGGUUCGAAUCCGGUUAGUAGCUCCA